GUCUACGGCCAUGCCACCCUGAACAAGCCUGAUGUCUGAUUUCGGGAGCUAAGCAGGGUCGGGCCUAGUUAGAUCGGAAACCACCUAGGAAUACCGAGUGCUGUGGACA
rnacentral:rRNA from 1 species